GCUCAGGAUCGACAGCGGAGUUAU
rnacentral:siRNA from 1 species